GCCGGGAUGGCGGAAUGGCAGACGCGAUGGGCUUAGAACCCAUUGGGGUUUCAAAAACCCCGUGGGAGUUCAAAUCUCCCUCCCGGCA
rnacentral:tRNA from 1 species